ensembl:snRNA U6 U6 spliceosomal RNA
UUAGCUUUACCUUCAGCUAAAUCUAUGAUUUUUUAAAAAAUUGCUUCUUGUUGAGCAUGGCCCCUGCACAAGGAUGACAUGCAAAUUCAUGAAGCGUUCCAUAUUUCU